rnacentral:rRNA from 1 species
GAUGAACGCUGGCGGCGUGCUUAACACAUGCAAGUCGAAGGGAGUGGCGAAUGGGUGAGUAACACGUGAGUAACCUGUCCUUUUCUUUGGGAUAAGCUUCCGAAAGGGUGUUUAAUACCUUAUGGAUUUGGGUGGGCUCGCGGUCUAUCAGCUUGUUGGUGGGGUGGUGGCUUACCAAGGCUUUGACGGGUAGCCGGACUGAGAGGGUGGUCGUUCACAUUGGGACUGCGAUACGGACCAGACGCCUGCGGGAGGCAGCAGUGGGGGAUAUUGCACAAUGGGCGGAAGCCUGAUGCAGCGACGCCGCGUGGGGGAUGAAGGCUUUCGGGUUGUAAACUUCUAUUGAUCUGAACGUGGAGGGGUUGAUUAGCGCCGGCUAACUACGUGCCAGCCGCCGCGGUAAUAC